AAUGACAUAGGGUUCCUGUUCUUAACUGCAUUGUGUCCUUGACAUUGUGGGAAACUUAGCAUUGUUGAUAAAUAGUGUAGUGUGUUGUUUUGAAUUAACCUUCAAUAGGUUAACAUUUGUAAACAUUCUCGGAUAUACUUGUGUUUUAGUUAUACGUACAUUUACCUGGAAAUACUGCAGCUGUAUGAUCUCGAUAUGCCCAUUCAGUUACUUCUCCUGUUAUCGUUCUAAUUUCUAACAGAAGCUUAUUAAGUUAUUUUCUACUAAGAUUUACAGAUCAUUAAAAUAGUUAUUGAACGUUGGAGCAUUAUAGUGUUUUCAGGGAAUUUUAAUAAAAUGAAAUGUUUAUCACGAUUUGAAAGAUAAUAUCGUACAUAAACAUUUAUGUUUUACAUUUAAAAUACAAUAUUAAUAAUGAAAUAUCUAUAAUGAAAAACAAAAACAUGAAAUUCCUUUGAAAAAAUGAUUUUUUUUCUGAUAAACGAUGCCUGCACUAAAUUGUGUAUUGCACAGCAUCAUGACAAUUAAUCAUGUUUCGUGAAAAUAUAUUCCAUGUUUCACUCAGACGAAAAGGAAAUCCUCAUAACAUUUUAAUAAAUAAAACUUAUUGCACACAAAUCUGCAUCGUUAAUCAAUAAUCACAAGCAAGUUAGAAUGUUCUGAAAAAAUGAAAACUGUAAAGUAUUUUAGAAUAUUUGCGUGUAUCAUUAGAAAAACGAAUGGUCCUUAGCACCCGAUAUUUUAUUUGUUUAGACUAAAAUCAUAAUUACACUAUGUAGUGUGUAUCAGCAUCAAUGAUGCAUCUAGAAUGUAGCAUUUACAUUUUAACGUUUACUUUAAAUCCAUUGCCAAUUGUGAUUGACCGAUAAAUUGAGAAUUUCUGCUUUACUUGCUAUUCAAGAUUUAUUCACGUUUCAAUAGUGCCAUUUGAGACAUAUUUUACAUUAAAUAGAGCUUUUCGUUUUUAUUUCCACGCUAGUUAUGUUAUUCAAGGUUCAUCCGCCUACAAAUUAUGCUUUUACAAAAUUUAUCUAAUAACAAAAGUGAACAAUCUAUUAUUGAUACAAUCACUACUUAAGCGCUUUAUCAAGCAAGUUAUAUAAUCAAUGAAUAACGAUAGAAGGUCUAGGAAUAUGCACCAUCUUUCAUUCCUUUUUUAUGAAGUUAAUAUUAGAGAUAAUUGACAAGAUUACUAUCUAUUCAUUAUUUCUCCUAAUGAAAUGGUUUAUAGUCGUCACAGACAUGUCAGAGCUGUCCAUGUAGUGUAAUAAAAAGUCUGAGUGUAAAUGUUCUUGCAAAUAUUCUGCUCGGAAACUAACAGAUUUAUUGCAGGCCAACUGACUGGCUGUUAUUACAUUUUACUAUGAUUCUUUCAUAGAAUAAUUAUGAUGUUUAAAGUUACAAUUUCUUCACAUUAAAUAUUAAUUUUCAAAGAUUCGCGGCAUGAAUUUAGGAUUUUGAUUUUAAACGACACUUUCUCAACCUAACGAAUUCAAGAUUCAACUUACAUAUUUACGAUAUUCACUUCAUGACCAUAUCUUCAGGAAUCUAUGUUUUUGAACUUCACGAUUUCAUCUUCGUGAAACCACGUUUGCACCGCCUCCGUGAUCGAGGGGUUAGAGUCGAUGACUUCUAAUCCAGUUACCUCUCUGGCGUGGGUUCGAUCCUCGGGAUAUGCUUUGGUAGUUUAGCACGGAGAAAGGUAGUCUAGUACUGGUGUAACUCUCUAGGAGCGAUGGUUAGGAAACUACCCACCUAAAUGACUAAAAUACUGUUACGCAUUCAUGAUCGUAAAUUCCUGAAAUUGAAAUUCAGAACCCCUGAAAUGGAAAUCGUCAAAAACCUGUAUUAGUGGAGAUAAAAUCGUAAAUUCCUGAAAAUGAAAUUGUGAAAGUGUAAAUUCGUGAAAUUGAAAUUUAUAAUCGUAAAUUUAUAAAGUCGUGAAUUCGUAAAGUUGAAACGAUGAAUUUGUGAAAUUAAAAUGUCACCAGAGGCCCUUCGUAAUAUUAUUACUCAGAAAACUUCAUUGGCUAAAUUAGAAUCGUUCAGUUGAUUAGACAGGAAUUCUUGUAUAGAUAUAAAACGAUGUUUGACAAAGAUUAAUUUGUACUUUAUUUAUAAAGAAAUAAUUAAUCUGGUUGCAAGGCAAACUACAUGAACUAAAUUUAGAUCUUUUUGUUCAUUGUCUGCAUGUUCUUUAUGAAGUUGUUGAAAGAAAACUAAUUUAGCCUUGCAAAAUUAUUAUUAUUUCACCUAUCUUUGAUUGUUCUAUAACAUCUUAGACUAUGCAGCACACGAUGUUACAGUAACCAGCAUAAUUUUUCACAUUUGGUAAAAUAAUUAUGAAUACAAAAUUAAAGCAGGACGACUAGCUUUCCCAAAGUUUUUGGUUUUACUCAAGUGCCUGAUAUAAUGCAUGAAGGGUUUAACCUUUGGUCUAACUCAACCAGUACAAAUUGAAAGUCGCCAUAUGACAUUUUAUAGUGUCAGUGAGUAAACAACUAAAUAAAACGAGCAGACAAAGUAAAUUGAAACAUUAAUUUUGCCUGAUGUUUAACGAUCUAUUUCUUGUUACUGGAUCAAUGCAUUAUGCAAACCAAAAUUGCAUUACAUUUGCAUUUGUGAUGCCAGUGCAUUGAUGUUUGACUGAAUAAAGAAUUUAUUUUAAUAUUUAUUGACGUUACAAUUACAAAAUAGCUUUGAUCAAGUGGAAACUGAAACCGCUACGUAGUAAUUGAUAUUAACAUUUUGUACUGAUAUCUUUUCAGCUAAACUGAAGACACGGAGAGGACUUCCAUAUUGCCUGUAGAUGUAUGUUUUGCCUGUUGUUCAGUAAUGGAGUAAACAAUUUCAGCAGAUGUAGGAGUUUUACAUAGAUUCCGAUACAAUUUGGGCAAGGAUGAUCCAACAGUUUCAAACUAUGGCGCCGUCGUUGUUUGCAAUACUGCUGACGAUAACAAAUCUUUGCUCAAAAUUGCAAAACAUUCGAGCAGUGGAUACGAUAAAUCCCCUUUACAUAAUUGACACGCAUAUAAAUGGGCCACUCACCACCGACAACAAAAUCAGAUUGGAACCUUUAGACAAUAAUGCUAUCUUUGAAAUUCCCGUGAACAUGCUUGAAAUAUUCUGGCUAAAUAGUUCAAUUCAUUCUAUUUCAAUUAAAUGGGCACUAGAUCCUAAUUAUAACCGUACUGGGUUCGUAAAAUACUCGGUGGUAGAAUAUUUCCCAAAAGGUGGACGAUUUACGUCACAUCCUUUAUCAAGUGACGUCAGAGAGUAUACAUUUGAUAAUUUAGAGGCUGGAACAAUGUAUACUCUUUGUGUUCAUAUGUUAGAGAUAUACGGUGAAGGAAAUUAUAGCUCGAUUAAUCAUUCAAAAUGUGUUAAAAUCAACACCAUAGAUUAUAUACGCAGAGAUAGUGUGGUGAUAAUGAUAAUUACUUUAGGAUACUAUGCAUUUAUGGGACUUAUAGGGUAUAUGCAAUGGAAACGUCGGCUGAUGAGGAUAAGAAAUAAUACAAAAAACAGAUAUAGCGAACCUCCGGAGGAAAGAAAUGAAAAAUCAGAAUAUUUGUGUAAUGCGAUGGCGUGAUUUAGCGAAAAAAAGAACGCCUUAUGUCAAAUCCCGGACGUUCUAUAGAAGGAGAUACAACAUAGGUGCUGUCGAGUUUAGGAAUGUUUACGUCUCGUAGGACAAGAAUUGUAAUACACAUGUACAUGUAUUUGUGUUUUUCAAACGAGUUUCCAAGAUCUCUCUGUUCUGAAAGACAGUCAAUGUUAACAUUGCAUACCUACGUCAUAUGUGAAAAAUUGAUUUGCACAGCAUAUUUUUCUUUUGUAACAAAAGGCAUUAUUGGCAAGUUAAAUCUUUAGCAUAAAAUCAAAAGUGAUGCAAGGCUUAUUUUCAAAGGGAUUACUACAUGCAGAUGUAACAUGCAGAAACCGUUAGGUCAACAAGGUCAAGGUUGUUUAGAAAAUGACAGUAAAUAGUACCAGGAAACCUUAAAAAUCAGUGUCUAGUUUGCCUUUCGUUAUGAUGAAUCCAGUUGCUCUUCUCUGAAAACAUCAUAACAUUUCAUAUGUGUUCCAAUGUUUUCAGUUUAACACCCUAUUCUUCUUUGCUUUUCAAAAUUGAAGUGCCCCUUGUGGUUGAUGGGUUGCUUAAUAGGAUUUGCUCGUUUAUCCCUACGUAAUUUUAAGAGGUGACUAAAUGGGUUCGAAAAAUGAAGUCUAUACAUCUCUAAGCUACGGCAGGUAUGGUGGUUUUGAACCUGGUGUUGCUUUAAGUUUGUAAAAAAACCUGAGGAUCAAGAUCAUUUUUUCUUGAUUCUAACAUAUGACAUCAAACCAAACAAACAAAACAACAACAUGAAAAAUGACGCACUCCAAUUUAAUGGAUAGUCCAGUCACUCAUUUCUCAUAACAGUUAAAAAUAAACACAAUACCGUACUUCUGCCUUAGUGGAAAGUUUGCAUUAUUCAGGGCUUUACAAUUGUACUACAUGUAUAUUAACGUAAUAAAUGUAAAAGUAAUUGUUUACGGUAUGCUAAUUUGCUUAAAAUUUAGCAUUAGAAAGGCGGUGCAUUAGAUUUGUUAAGUGUUAGUGCUUAAAAGUUACUGUUAAAGUGGACUUUAAAAUCAUUGCUCUUUGUAAUCUGUUAUUCUCAUUGGUAAAUGAAAGGUAUCAUAUGUUUGUAUUUGUAUAUUUUGCUAACUUGUUUCAAUGUAAAACAUUGUGUUCUCUAGUAUUAUAAAUUACGAAAUUAUUAAGAAAUAAAAUUGAUCAUAUU